UCUCGAUAGCGUAAACGUUAACUCAAAAUUGUAUGGAGUUGGAACGUUUGCCUACGUUUGACGCUAGGGGCGCUGUUCAAACUGCAUACAAAUUUGAGUUAACGUUUACGCUAUCGA
rnacentral:pre_miRNA from 9 species